CAGGUGGUGCAUGGUUGUCGUCAGGCUCGUGUCGUGAGAUGUUGGGUUAAGUCCCGCAGCGAGCGCAACCCCUAUUGUUAGUUGCCAUCAUUCAGUUGGGCACUCUAGCGAGACUGCCGGUAAUAAACCGGAGGAAGUGGGGAUGACGUCAAAUCAUCAUGCCCCUUAUGACCUGGGCUACACACGUGCUACAAUGGUUGGUACAACGAGUUGCGAGUCGGUGACGGCGAGCUAAUCUCUUAAAGCCAAUCUCAGUUCGGAUUGUAGGCUGCAACUCGCCUACAUGAAGUCGGAAUCGCUAGUAAUCGCGGAUCAGCACGCCGCGGUGAAUACGGUUCCCGGGCCUU
rnacentral:rRNA from 1 species